AUUGAACGCUGGCGGCAUGCCUUACACAUGCAAGUCGAACGGUAACAGGUCUUCGGAUGCUGACGAGUGGCGAACGGGUGAGUAAUACAUCGGAACGUGCCUAGUAGUGGGGGAUAACUACUCGAAAGAGUGGCUAAUACCGCAUGAGAUCUACGGAUGAAAGCAGGGGAUCGCAAGACCUUGUGCUACUAGAGCGGCCGAUGGCAGAUUAGGUAGUUGGUGGGAUAAAAGCUUACCAAGCCGUCGAUCUGUAGCUGGUCUGAGAGGACGAUCAGCCACGCUGGGACUGAGACACGACCCAGACUCCUACGGGAGGCAGCAGUGGGGAAUUUUGGACAAUGGGCGAAAGCCUGAUCCAGCAAUGCCGCGUGCAGGAUGAAGGCCCUCGGGUUGUAAACUGCUUUUGUACGGAACGAAAAGGUCUCUCUUAAUACGGGGGGCUCAUGACGGUACCGUAAGAAUAAGCACCGGCUAACUACGUGCCAGCCGCCGCGGUAA
rnacentral:rRNA from 1 species